AACGAACGCUGGCGGCAUGCCUAACACAUGCAAGUCGAACGAGACCUUCGGGUCUAGUGGCGCACGGGUGCGUAACGCGUGGUAACCUGCCCUUAGGUUCGGAAUAACUCCCCGAAAGGUGUGCUAAUACCGGAGAAUGUCUUCGGACCAAAGAUUUAUCGCCUUUGGAUGGGCCCGUGUUGGAUUAGCUAGUUGGUAGGGUAAAAGCCUACCAAGGCGACGAUCCAUAGCUGGUCUGAUAGGAUGAUCAGCCACAAUGGGAAUGAGACACGGACCAGACUGCUACGGGAGGCAGCAGUGGGGAAUGUUGGACACUGGGCGCAAGCCUGAUCCAGCAAUGCCGCGUGAGUGAUGAAGGCCUUAGGGUUGUACAGCUCUUUUACCCGGGAUGAUAAUGACAGUACCGGGAGAAUAAGCUCCGGCUAACUCCGUG
rnacentral:rRNA from 1 species